CAGUCUGCAACUCGACUGCAUGAAGCCGGAAUCGCUAGUAAUCGCGGAUCAGAAUGCCGCGGUGAAUACGUUCCCGGGUCUUGUACACACCGCCCGUCACACCAUGGGAGUCGGAAAUGCCCGAAGCCGGUGGCCUAACCGAUAAGGGAGAAGCCGUCGAAGGCAGGUCUGAUGACUGGGGUGAAGUCGUAACAAGGUAAC
rnacentral:rRNA from 1 species